UACAAGGUUACAGCUCACAAACGAGUCUCUGUCACCAGUUACUCUGUGCCAGGGCCACAGUGCACUGGAUGGCGAGCCCCAGGAGAGGGCAACCUUUCCUCCCAGAUCUGCUAUCUUUAUGGACAACAAUAAGCUCACCAGGAAGAAAGCACACCGUUCUGAAGAAAGCACACCAUUCUGCUACUAGAAGUAUCUGACAGACCUGUUUCUGGGGUGUGUGUGUGUGUGUGUGUGUGUGUGUGUGUGUGUGUGUGUGUGUGUGUGUGUGUAUGUCUUUGUUUUUAAGAGAUUGUGGUUUCCCAUUGUUGUGAAAACACACUCACUGUUCAAAGUUAACCUGGGACCUUGUUUUCACAGGGAGCCAGAAUAGCCUGGGGGCAUCUUAACUCCUGAGAAGAAAUAAGAUUUGAAUGAUCUUCAGCUGUGAAUUGUUUUAUAUUUGUCUUUAGCAUUAUUUGCUCGCAAAUUGAAUUGUGCAAUAGGGCUUAAGAUGCCAUACUUAUAUCGGGUGCGGUAGGACAGGCUUAUAAUCUGUACAGUUGGGAUAUGGAGGCGGGAACGUUUGAGUGUAAUACCAGCCUGGGCUACAGAAUAAAAUCUUGUCAUAAAUGAACUGAAAGUAAACCAAACACAGAACAACAACAGUGGAAACCCGGACUCUUAUGUUAGAUUGAGUCAAAUACUGUGUGUAAUGAAAAGGAAUUGCUUUAAAAAUUGGUGAUUCCUUUUUCUGAUCCUAUAAGUUGUCACUUAAUUUUUGGUUGGGGUCAUUCGUUCGAUAUGCGAAUAUCUUUGAAAGUAAUCAUGGGGCUUCAGUUGGGCCAUUUGGGGGAUUCCUGAAGACAGGGUCCUGCCAAUUUUCUGAGAGAAAAUCCUGGCUUUAUUUGUGGACUUGAUGCAAAGGAUGGCUUUAGAUUUCUGAAGCCCAACAGAUGUGGAAACGCAAAGAACAAUCAAGUCUUCAAAGCCAGAGUAAAAAUAAUUGCUGUUCUGAACAGUUAGACACCAGUGAAGAGAAGGCUAAAGUCAUCUUGAGACAGGUAAGAUCUAAGUCCAUAGCCCCUUUCUUGAUUUUUCUGGCCCUGGACACUAAUCUGAAUGGACCAUAUCAAUGGGACCCAGAGUUCCAUUUCCAAGAGUCUGGCCAAUGGUAAGUCCUGGCUGGACAUGCUCAGUACCAUUACUGAGAGGGAAGAAGAGAAAUCUGCCCACCGUGUUCCUUCAGGAGGUCACCCUUCCUUGCUGAUGGACCUCUCCACUCUCCCCAGUGACUUCAUUUGCUCUGUCUGGGUUCUGGAAAUUUCUCUCUCCUUUUUCUCUCUUCUCUCAGCCACCAGAUGGGAACAGGCUCCCUGGUGGCCAGAGCCUGGAAAUGUAGCACCCCUGAUAGUUUUCCUUAGUCUUACCUACAUUUUAAGAAUUAGACUGUGCAUUUAAUAUCUCUCAGUGGCUCUACGUGAAUUCAUUUCUGUCUCCUGCAGGAUCCUAACCCACAUGGAUGACUGACUGGAGGACCAAUGGGUUGCUUCACUUACUUCUUUAGCAUGGCACAGUGGUUAGAAUUACUUUAGGUUCACAUCCUCCUGGGCUCUGCCACAUCCCAGUUACAGAUCCCAGUUUUCACAGAUGACCAACUUUCUGUGUCUCAUAUGUUUAAAAAAGAGAGAGAGAGAGAUUUAGUUGAGUGACCGAAUGACUGAUUGUCAUGUACUCUACCACGGAGUCACAUCUCUAGCUCAAACACAGGGUUUGUUUUUUACGACUUAAUUUCUUUCUCAUGUGUAUGUGUGCCAGCAUGCGUGUGGGUACAUGCAUGUGGGGUGUGUGUGCCUAUGUAUGCAUGUGCAUGAGGAGGCCAGAGGCUGACAUCAGGCUUCCCCAGUUGCUCUCCACCUUGCUCACUGAGGCAGAACCUCUUAGUUGAACAAGUCACCAGCACAGCUUCUCUGUCUUGCCAGCUUGCUAUAAGUAUCUCCUGUCUCUGCCUUCCAAGUACUGGAAUUACAAGUGGACCCCACCUGCUAUCCAGCAUUUACAUGGAUUCUGGAAAUACAAACUCUAGUUUUCACGAUUGCGUGGCAAGCACUUUAAUCAUGGAGCCAUUUUCCCAGCCUUGUUUCUAUGACAUUUUACUUGGCACGUCUUUGAGGACCACACGAUAUAAUCUUAGAAAGCACGUCGUACAGCGGCUGUCACUUAGCAAGUGCUCUAUAAAAAGUAGUUAUUGCUGUGUCCUAUGAUUACCUCUGUGCUGUGGUCAGCCUGCUCUGUGAAGGAGCCAAGUGACCAGAAUAAAACAUUAUUUAUACUUCUUAAAGCCUCAGAAGGGAGCUUCAAUGAGGGGAAGCUUUAUUGAUGCCUCUGCAAUAUGCCUUCGGGGUGAGAAUGGUGUUCACACUUCCGGUGGCCUCUGACAGCUGGCUUUGUGUUUUACCCACAGACCUCAAAAGGAACAGAACCAAGACACACUUUUAGAGGCUGGGUGAUUCCCAAGUUAUCAGACUACUCUCUGUUUGGAAAGAGAAAGAUAUAGGGUUGGGAAAACAAAACAAAACCACCAUGGGAUUCCUAAAGGAUCAGAUUCCUUUUGUGAUUCCCACAUGGUGGCUUGGUUUGUUCUUCAUUGUAAUUAGCAACACGGUAACAAAACAUUACUUCAAGGAUGCAGAACGGGGAUGCCAGGAUUUAACACAAAUAGGAAGCGAGGAGCCCGACCAGUGCAAACUGUAUGGAGGAAACAUUCUGUGACCGGGCUUCCACUCUGGGCUGCUAGUCUGGCCACUCGUGAUCUGGCUGGCUCACAGUUGUGUAAACGAUGCCAGAGGCAGAUGCUGGUGCACAUCCCUUAGUCACCCCCUCUUCCUUUCCUUUCUGAAUUCUGAAUAUUCUAUUCAACUCAACAACUGCCGCUUUGCCUACACCAUGGGGAGCGCAGUGGCUGUCCCAGUCCUUGUCAAGGACAUAGGUAUAAUGACCUCUUCCUAAAAUGGCAGCUUCCGAGAAGCGAGGAGAAUGGUGGACAGCCUCCAGUGUGCAGUAGGUGAUGGCCAGUAAGAGCGAAGGUUAUAUGAGAGGAGAAGGGGAGCCGGAAGGAGGACAGAGGAAGAGGAAAAUCGCAUUCUACUUCUCUGAAGCAGCCGCCCCACAGAGAGCCAGUUGAGACACGUAGGAGUGAGUUUAUACACACUUUAAAACCCGAACACUCUCUUAAAGAGGAUCACUCUUUCCCAGUAGGGCCGUUCCUGUUUAUGAACUUCAGCUUAGAAACGCGUCUUGAUUGUGGUAAUAUUUUAAUUUGACAUCAAACAUUAUCAGAUUUUUUUUUUCUUUUCUAACUUCAUCCACAGCUUUGGCCACUCUUGCCCAGUAAUUCUGAGGUCACUCAAAUACUUUUAUUCCAAGGACCUUCCAAAGGCAGCCAAGGCAGUGGUUUUGAAAACUGCCCUUGUUUGUCGACAAAAGUACAUUAAAACAACCAAGGGGCUGACUUCUGUCCAGGACGAUUCUUUUUAAUGUCUUACUGGACACGUUUAAAAUGCUUUUUGGUCCUUUGGGAGCCCAGAUGAGAGAAGUUGCUUUUUUGCCCUUGUAUUUGGCUUUAAGUCUUGGGAUGCGAUCUUUGGUAAAUGUCUGUGAUGCUUGCACAUUGUGUAAUACUCCCUGCAAAAGCUGUUGAAAUUUCAUCAGUAUCAAACAGGCAACAAAGACGCGGGGUGGAGAUGAUGAGCUGUUUCCUUGGGGUUUUCUGGUUAUCUUCCUUUGACUACGCUACUCAGUGAAGCUAUAAGAGCGUGACCUUUCGGGUUUGCCCAGCCUCUCAUUCCCCUUCUUCUCCAAACCAGAACAACUUCUGCUUCAGGCAUCAGUGACUAGACAUGCUAAGUAUCCCAGUGAAGUGCCACGAUGCUUUUCUAGUUCUGACAACAUUAUGAUUAGCUAAUUAUUCACACACCAGAGACCCUGUCUGUGAAACGUGAGUGGCUGUUAGUCUCCCUGAACAACACAGGGCAGAACUAAAAAGAGUCCCUGGAUCUGGUAUAAGUAAAGAUUUUUCAUAAUGCUUCUUUUUUAAAACUAUUAUUAUUAUUAUUAUUAUUAUUGUUAUUAUCAUUAUUAUUGUUGAAUGUAUUUUUGGAGGUCAGAGGUCAACUUUGCAGAAUUAAUUCUCUCUUCCACCAUGAAACACAGGUUGUCAGGUUUGUCCAUCACUUGCCUUGAUCUAGUUCUGAGCCAGCUCACUGGUCCCCAAGGACACUUCUUAUAGAAUUUGCCACAGUUAUGACCAGUCCUACAGCAAAACCAGACUCUAAAGGCCAGUAUUAUAUGCUCCCAGAUUGGGUGCUGGGCUUUUGAAAGUUACUUGGCAAGGGAAAGUGAAUGUUCUCUGUAACACAAAGUGGGUUCUCCCUUUACACAAGCCAGGUUUGGGCAACCCAUACAAUCUCCUUCCUGAGAUUGGGGAGAAAAAGAAAGGUGAGACUGGGUGUUCUCAAAAGUCUUUUGAAUUUUGUCACUUGCUGCAAACAAGACUCAAGUUAGUGAAAACAUGGUUUCUAUAUCCCGUUCAACUGGGCGAUACUCUUCUUAAGAAGGUGCCAGGCUGAGUUGGGAAAAGGUGAGUGGGAACUUAGCCAUACCGGGACUCCUCCUAACCACAGAAAUACUAAGACAUGGUGGUGUUUCCUUUAAUACAAUGAAACCCAGCUACCUCCAGGAUUGCUCUUUCAAAAAAAGGUCAGUGGCUGUAAUUCAGACGAGCCCUCCCCGUUCUGUGGGACUGCAUGCACAUACCCUCCCGCUGUGCCAGGUGCCUAGUGCUCUCUCUUUUGAAACCUAAUUUCAGAGCACGGAGCUGAGCAAGGCGGGAUGGGCUUCCCGCUCAGAUUUAUCUGUGAUGGACACAGGACUGCAUUCAGAAAUGAAAGUUAUCUUUAAGGAAACAGAGCGAGCUUGAACAGAUGUCCCUGCUUCUCCGAUAAUAAUAACGACACAAUGUGUUUAUUUGGAAGAGGAUUCAAUUAUUCAUUCUGACUCCAAGGUCCCUGUGCAGAAUCCUGGAUUCCGGUCCCGUGGAUUUAUCACACCCACUGGAGGAUUCUUGCUUUCCAAACCUCUUCCAUUAGAGUGGGUUUACCCUUCCCAAAUGAUAACAUCUUUCUUCCCUGGACUGAAUUGCCUUCAACUUCUUUCAAGACACGGUCUGUGAAAACAGUGCGUGAGAACACGGGACAGUGGGAAAUGCUGGUGGGAAGGCCACAGUAAACAUGUCAGGUGUACGAACUAGCUGAUGAUAUUUAUUUGGUUCUCAAGAAGGACGAAUCGGGGUUUGACAAAUUACGAUCCUUUUUCAACAUCUCGGAUUUCUCUAGUAAUGCAUAUACGCUGGCAGACCUCAGUGGACCUUGCUAAUUUAUUUGUAGAUCAUCAAAGAAACACAUAAAACAAGUCUCUAGGCAAGUGAACUUCCUGGGAAGCUGUAUUGGGUAACAGCAGGAUUUUCCUGCAUCGUGAGUAAACAGUCGACACGGUGACGAAGGCUUUUGUCUUACUCCUGGCUGAACUUUGAGGGGGCGAGAUGUCUAAUACCAAGGGACACAGCUCUGUAGUCUUUCCUCAGAGUGUCUCGUGAUUCCAGAGAGGGACAUUCUGCAACCUGACACAGAGAACCAGCUCGGAAUAUUUCUUAACAGAGAUUCUUACAGUGUCAUUGAAUUACAGCGGGGGUUCAGGAUUUUCUGUGCCUUGAGAGGUUGUAUUUUAAAGUGGGCACACGUUUUUUAAAGUUAAAAUGGAGUCACGGUGAAUCCUCAUUAUUUAAGUGGUGAGAAAGGACAUGGGGGAGAGGAAGCAAAAUAUAUUUCCAUGGAUACACCACAAGCCAGUACUCCAGAGAUGAUCUUUGUGGACAUAAAAGUUUAUGCUGUCUUUGAUUUGUGAGAUUUCAAGACACGCUAGCAGUACUUAGGGAUCUUGGAGCAUCUGCCCUGAGUUUACAUGUCUUCUGACUGCCUAAUUCUUCCACAAAGAGUUUCUUUUCCUAGUUAAACUCGUGUCUCCGCAGUUCCCUUUGUGGACUGAACCGACCAUGGGCCUUGCCUCUGUCACACCUUAAUUCUUCCACAAACCUUUCUUUAGCCUAAGGAAAGGCAUCUCCAGGCUCCACUGAGAAGGAGCUGGGGUGGAGAGACACGGCCUGAGGGUCCGUCUUUCAUACCCCUUCUGAUUUUACACAGCCCAUCCCCCAGUAGAAAGGAAGUCUCCAUGUCUUUUACUGAUGGUACUCUAAGGCAGAUUUUCAAACUCAGCCUUGCUUUGUGUUAGGCUAGACAGUUUCUUGUUCUCGGUGGCUGCCUUGUGCUCUGCACUGGGGUGCGUGAUAGCAUCCGUGGCCUCGGCCUACUGGACGGUGGCAACAGAAGUCUCUAGCAGGUGGUUCUUAACCUGUGGGUAGCAACCCCUUUGACAAACCUGUAUCUCCAAAAGCAUUUACACUGUGAUUCAUAGCAGUAGCAAAAUUACAGUUAAGAAGUAGCAACAGAAAUAAUUAUAGGUGGGGGUCACCACAACAUGAGGAACUAUACUAAAGUGUGACAGCAUUAGGAAGGUUGGGAACCACUGGACUCAGCACGUAACAUGUCCCCUGGGGAGCGAGUGGUCAGUUAAGAAACCUUGCCUGUACAGCUCCUCACUUCUUCCUUCAGUCCUUUUGAACCGGGAUAAGGCGUUUAGCAACAUGUGGGUUCACGUUCAGUUAUUUGGUGAUUAAGAACAAAGGAAGCGUUUUCAGACUGCAUGUAGGACAUUUCUAAAAAGGAACUAAUUGGGAUUGCUUGAUUCAGACUGAGUCGAAGGAAGAGCCUACCAAGCAAAUUGUCCAGCAUCUUUAAAUCACUCUUUCUUGUUCAAGCAAGUCCAGUGUGAUACAUUUUUCCAGAGUUUUAGUGACAGAAAAGUUUAUCUCUUGCAAAAACAAAACAAAACAACAACAACCAAACAACAACAACCAAACAACAACAACAACAACACAACCAACCAAACCAAACCAAACCAAACCAGACCAAACUGAACCAAACCAAAUCCCCAAACCCAACUCCUUUAUGCUUGGCUGUCAGAAGGCUCAAGCGCAGAUAUUUAUUUUCAUCCUUUGAUUUUAAUUUCUUAACAUGAGACAAUCUUUUUAUCUUACUAAACUGUGGCCUUUCACCCUUGCUAAUAGCUUGCUUAAGACUUCCUUUCUUGUAAAGUAAAAAAAAAAAAUUUUUUUUUUUUUUUGCUUUUGAAACAGAGUCUCACAAUGUAUAUAGCCCUUGGUUGGUCUGGAACUCACUAUGUGACCCAAGCUGGACUUGAACUCAUAAAGAUCUACCCGCUCUGCCUCCCAAGUGCUAAGAUUAAAGGCCUGCUCUACCAUGCCAGGCAUAAAACAAAAAUCUUAAAUAAACAGCAUAUUCUUAUUUACUUGCUACCCCAAGCAGGGUACUUUAGAAAUACAGGGCAAGGCAUUUAUAAUUAACUAGGAUUAGCAGCUCAGACUGACACAGUCCGGCCCCAAAUGAAUGAUCCUCCAUGUAUAGAGUAAACACCACAGAUAAUGACUAUUCCGUUCCUGGGUGGGAGGUAACUAAAGACAAAUAUGCACCCGACACAGAGAACCGUGGCUAAGUUAUGUGCUUCUUACUUAUCUUGAAUCGCACGUGUUGAUUGGAGUGUAAUAUUUAUUAUCCCCUGGGACAUUUUAUAAUUAGCCUCCAUAUCAGUAGAGGAAACAAACCAUAGCACAAUUUGGGUGUGAUUUCUAUAGUGAUGGGUGCUGUCUCAGAUCUGGAAGACUGAUCGAUCACAUUAGGAGACCCACUGCACCAUGAUGUAUGGGGUCCUGGGUACACGCACUACAGAGUAGUGUUAGAUCUCCAGUGAGUCCGUCUUGUUUUUCCUGAGGGACUUCUUAUAAACGUUUGUAAUUCUCGAGCAGCGAGCUGAUACUGUGCUUAAGCUUGCUUUCAGAACUAUUAAUAAAUGUACAUGGUAGUUCCAGGAAGAGGGUCAAGCUGCUUCUUCUCUGUUUGUUGAAAACACUUUCCUGCUUCUUUGGGGAAACGUGGGACUGGCAGAGUCCUUGAGAGAUGCUGGGCCUUCUUCAGACAUUGUAAAUAGUACUUGUAAUGGGGAAAGGGCGCAAAGUCAAAAGUCAGACACACAGUCAGUGCGGCGACACUACGGCACAGUGCUUUACACGUGAAUGAAUGAGAUUGCAACAUGGACUGAAAGCACACGGAAGGUGGAAAUGCAUUUCGGUGUGUUCAUAGAAUGUGUGCCUGUGUGCACAAAAUGCACUGUUCCAUGAAUGCUGUAAUUCAAGCUGUGGCAGGCCGACUUAUUGUUUUGUCAAGGUUACUAUCUGAUUAGCCAAACUGAAAGUUUAAUAACUGUCAGUAAUUGAAGUCCUAUUAUAUAGCAGGUACCUCACGAGCACUUGAUAAUAUAUAUUUUAAUGUACUGGUAUUUUAGGAUUACUGCCUGAAUUUUUUCAUUCACUCACUUGUUCCAUUAUUCAGUUAACAUUUGUUGAUCCUUUUUCCUUUGCCAAGCCUUGUAUAAAACGUAGAAGUAUAAAGGAAUCAUAAUGCCUUUUAUCAUGGCUGUAUCAAUUUGUUCUCAGAACAAAUCUAUGGGGUAGCACUACCAUCCACUCCAGUUCAGUUAGGAAAAUGGUGAUUCAGAGAAGACAGAAGUCACCCCAAAUCAAGAAAUAAGAGCAUAGGAAAUAAGCCUUAGCAGCCUGACCUGAAACACCAGCUCUUUCUGCUAAUAGGUGUUGGCAUCAUAAAAGUCCAUGGUGGGGAGGAGGGGACUCUAAGCUUCAGAAAGAAGAUGGUGAGAGAAGAAGGUGUGCCAGGGACAGAGGCACCCGGAAUGUUCUAGGUUCUAAAAGUUUAUGUGUAUACUCUCAUUCACUCAUUCACUUGUCCCACAAGGAAGGUACCCUGCUUAAGAAAUGGAGCAUGGGGUCCGGGAAGGUGACUCAAUGGGUAAAGUGUUUACUUCAAAGGCAUAAGGACCUGAGUUUUGGUCCCCCUCGCCCUCAUGUAAAAUAGCCAGUUUGCCAUUCUAGCUAAAUCCCUGAAUGUCCCUCCCAUUCAGGAGAGACGGUGCUUCAAAAAAUAAAGUGGAAAUUGAUCAAAGAAGACACCAGUGUUGACCUCUUAUGUCCACAAACAUGCAGGCUGGAGAGAUGACUCAGUGGUUAAGAGCACUGACUGCUCUUCCAGAGGUCCCGAGUUCAAAUCCCAGCAACCACAAGGUGGCUCACAACCAUCUGGAAUGAGAUCUGAUGCCCUCUUCUGGUGUGUCUGAAGACAGCUACAGUGCACUUAUAUAUAAUAAAUGAAUAAAUCUCUUAAAAA